rnacentral:rRNA from 1 species
GACAAACGCUGGCGGCGUGCCUAACACAUGCAAGUCGAACGGAGUUAAGUUUUCGGAUUUAACUUAGUGGCGAACGGGUGAGUAACGCGUGAGGAACCUGCCUUUCAGUGGGGGACAACAGUUGGAAACGACUGCUAAUACCGCAUAAUGUUAUUUGGGGGCAUCCCCGAAUAACCAAAGAUUUAUUGCUGAAAGAUGGCCUCGCGUCUGAUUAGCUAGUUGGUGAGGUAACGGCCCACCAAGGCGACGAUCAGUAGCCGGUCUGAGAGGAUGAACGGCCACAUUGGGACUGAGAUACGGCCCAGACUCCUACGGGAGGCAGCAGUGGGGAAUAUUGGGCAAUGGGCGAAAGCCUGACCCAGCAACGCCGCGUGAAGGAAGAAGGCCUUCGGAUUGUAAACUGUUGUCGCAAGGGAAGAAGACAGUGACGGUACCUUGUGAGAAAGUCACGGCUAACUACGUG